rnacentral:misc_RNA from 1 species
UGUAGGAGCUGGCUUGCCAGCGAUGGGACCCUUGAAUGUUGCGUUGUCCUUGCGGAUGCCAUCGCUGGCAAGCCAGCUCCCACA